rnacentral:lncRNA from 1 species
UCAUUUCUAGAAAAGUAUAACCAUUCAUUAAUUGCCUAUCUUAAAAUUCCUAUAAGGCUGACUUGGAUCUCUGACUUAAGUCUAGAAGUGAGGUUUUCACUUUCAUUUAAUAUUAUUACUAUCGUUUAAAUAAUGAUUUGUAAACCACAGCUUGAUUUGGAGUUGCCAGUGUGUUCUGUGUCUUCACUGUUGGUAGGUAGUAAACCCAGAACGGAGUUAAUUAAGCUAACUCUGAACCACAAGGUAGAAGAUAUUACAUUAAUGGGACAACUAGAAAAUAUAUGGAGAGCUGGACAUUAAAAGGAACCUGAAGUGUGCAGUGAGCUGUAAACUCAAGAGAGUGAGAAAUUGACAUAAUUUUGUCUUAGUGACUCAGGAGAAUGAGGACACAUUAUUUUUUCUAAGUCUCUCAUGGACCAGGGAAUAAGAAAAUAUUUGUAAAAGGGACAUGUUUAUUGUUGUUUUUACUCAUGGUUGCCAUUGGCAUUUAAGAAAAUAAUCUUUAACCCUUCCAUCCACUGUGUAAGGUAAUUACAGUGCUCUGUUAAAUUCAUUAAAGAAGCCAUUAGACCGGGGUUGUUCUGAUACCUUAGCAGCCUAAAGCACACUGAAACCUAAGCCUAUAAAUGCCUCAAGGUUGAGAACUAAAAACCUAAGGACAAGUGAUAACAGACAACUAGGCUUUUUCAAAUAAGGCCGACCCUUAGCUGUAGCCAAUCAAAUAAUUUCCUUGCUUUCUUCUGCCUUUUCUGUAUGAAAAUGUUCCCAUUAGCUCCUGUCCGUGGAGUGCCCCUAACUGCUUCCAGUUUGGUACUACCACAUUCAUAUAGGUUUUUGCCCUGAUAAACUCUUAAGAUUUUUAAUAUAUCUAAGUUAAUCCUUUACAAACAAGGAAGCUGAGACUCUGGGAAGUUACACAAUAUAUCCAAGAUCGCAUGGCUGCAUAUAUACAAGUAAUUUGAAUUUGAAUAUUUAAACUAAAAUUCAUGUUUCUUUCUUUCUUCCAAAGAGAGAAGUAGAGUAAGAACCACAAAUUUACAAGGCCUGAAAAAGAAUUUACAACUUUGGAAAUACAUG